rnacentral:rRNA from 1 species
UACAGAGGGUGCAAGCGUUGUUCGGAAUUAUUGGGCGUAAAGCGCGUGUAGGCGGAUCCAUAAGUCGGGCGUGAAAUCCCCAGGCUCAACCUGGGAACUGCGCUCGAAACUGUAGGUCUUGAGUGUCGGAGAGGAUGGCGGAAUUCCUGGUGUAGAGGUGAAAUUCGUAGAUAUCAGGAGGAACACCGGUGGCGAAGGCGGCCAUCUGGACGACAACUGACGCUGAGAUGCGAAAGCGUGGGGAGCAAACAGG